GCGGACAUGCGGUUAUCUGUUCCAGUUUUCUCAUUCUAUGCAUACCUAGACUAUCCACCAGUUUAGGGAUCUAAAAAGUGACAUAUGGAGAUCAAUUAACUGUAGUGUGUUGUUAGUCCCCUCAUUAGAUAGCAGUAGGACUUAAGAUGUGGUGCUCUGUUCUUGUAUGGUGCCAUAUUUAGUUAUGUACUUUUGUAAGGCUCAUAUGCAUCUUUUUUAGCCUUUGAACAGGGAAGCUGAACUUUUAAUGAUGAGGCUAGAAGGUCCGAAGCCGAAUAGCAAAACUCCGAUUCUUUUUCAAUUGAGGCACCAGCAGGGAUAUUUUGUGAUGGAGCAACGAGAUUUAGAUGGAAAACGACUCAGGUGCCUCAUGGUUCCUUGUCUCUACUUUUUUAUUUUGACUUUGCCCUUCGUACAAACAUAAGUUCAGAUUCAUUUGUUAAAGCUGGCUGCAAGUUGCAUCUAUAUUUGCCCCACUGAGCUAAACAAUUUAUGAGUGUUACUAAACAUCUUUUUCUCUAAAUUAUCCUGCACUUGUGCAUUUCAUAUAUCAGAUACGAGGAAUCUCCUCUCGUGUUGGCGGUGGCUGCUAAGGGCAUGCGAUGGCCGAAAGAUGGGCGGGCCUGAGGUCGAUGGCCGACGGCGGCUCUCCCCUAUCCUUCCAUAUGCUCAAUGCUUGCUAUCUAUUGUCCUAUCUCUAUCUCUAUUUGAUUUCUUUGUUGUGGUAGUAGUCUCCUAAGGUUGAUAAAUAACAGUAGCAAAGAUGUUAAUGGCAUGCAGCAUAUUUAUUUUCUGUUAUUUUUUUGUAUUUAUCUGUGCAAACUGAAAGCUAAUUAUGAGCUACAUGUUUCUGCAAAUUACGCCCGAGAUUGAAGUAUGCAAUAUGUUAUUGA